CCUGCAAGCUGAGGGAGUGGGCUCCGGCCUUGGCCAGCCCAAAAAGGGGCUCCCACAGUGCAGCAGUGGGCUGAAGGGCUCGUCACGUGCCGCCAAAGAGGGAGCCCAGGCAGAGGAAAUGCCGAGAGCAAGCCAGGGCUGUGAGGACUGCCAGCAUGCUGUCACCUCUCAAUAGGUCAGAUAAUUUCUUUAUGGCCAGCUUUACGCAGGAAGGUGGGGGUCACCAGUGCUGCGAGGGAUCCCAGGCAAGAAUGCUGAUCUUGAUGAAUAGUGCAGGUCAUAACUGCUCUCAGUUCAGAGAGAAGUUGGUUGAAUCUGUAAAUGUGGGACCUAUGAAUAUGGAGGGGCAACUGUAUACAUCACAUCAUUAUUAACCCUAGCCAUCAGAUCUCCAGAAUUUAUUCAACUUAUACUGCAAGUCAAUGCACAUAUUACACAUUCCAAUUUCUAAUGAUUCCAGAAAUCUCUAGGUAAACAAGUGCAGCUCUAUUUUCUAACAUCGACCAUAAAAUACCCCAGGAUUUGCAAUUCAAGAUAAAACAUCUUGAGCAAUUUUACCUAUUAUAUUGACUGGCAGUAUGUUUCAUAAAUAAAUAAAUAAUACAGCCAUAGUAACCAUUAAUUUCUUGUUUCUUUGGAGUAGCAUAUGCUAUGUUCAGGGUCAGAAUGAGAGGUACAUAUCAGUAUUUUUCUCCUUUGGCUUAUUUUUAGCGUAUGUAAUGUCAGGCUGACUUCUCAAAAUUAUAUAUUUUUACUUGCCCAUUUUAUGUGUACUUUUGUAACACAUGUCUAUAUAAACUGGAUAAACAAUAUUACGACAGUGGAAUAUCUGUAGUAUUUUCUACUCUUAUACAACAGACUUUGUUCAGCCUUAGAAUAUUUUCAAAUCUUGAGGAUACGCAGAUCGGCUUAGAAGAGUUCUUUUCUGUUAAUGAUUGUUAAUGCAUUUAAAGUAUUUAAAUUGUAUUAAUCUCUUGCUUGGCUUGUUUCAUCUUCUGUAUUAACUGAUGCUCAGAAAAUGCCAUGUACUCUUUACCAAA